AUGAAGCCGGAAUUGCUAGUAAUGGCAGGUCAGCAUACUGCCGUGAAUACGUUCCCGGGCCUUGUACACACCGCCCGUCACACCAUGAGAGUUGGGAAUACCCGAAGCCUGUGAGCUAACUUAUAGAGGCAGCAGUCGAAGGUAGAAUCAAUGAUUGGGGUGAAGUCGUAACAAGGUACC
rnacentral:rRNA from 1 species